UCACAGGGGGAUAGCCCGAAGAAAUUUGGAUUAAUUCCCCCAUAAUAUUAUUGGAUGGCAUCAUUUGAUAAUUAAAAUUACGAUGGUGAAAGAUGGGCAUGCGUCCUAUUAGCUAGUUGGAGUGGUAACGGCACCCCAAGGCUACGAUAGGUAGGGGUCCUGAGAGGGAGAUCCCCCACACUGGUACUGAGACAGGGACCAGACUCCUACGGGAGGCAGCAGUGAGGAAUAUUGGUCAAUGGUCGGAAGACUGAACCAGCCAUGCCGCGUGCAGGAAGAAUGCCUUAUGGGUUGUAAACUGCUUUUAUAUGGGAAGAAUAAGGAGUACGCGUA
rnacentral:rRNA from 1 species